AACAAAAUAAACGUUCGAAAGUAUCGUUUAUAAAAUCACCAAGAAAUGAACAAUUUUUUUUAAAACAUGAAACUCAUUUCAAUCAUCAAUACUUAAGAGAAACAGUAAAACAUUAAAAAUUGUAAACGAAAGCAUUUUGAAAGAGUGUUCCCAUAUGACAAUCACGAGUCCUUGUCCCUCAUCGAUCUACCUCUCGUAUUACCUUUGCCUGAAAAAGCUAAACAUGAAAAAAGGGUGAGUAUAAGGUAUACCCAGUUAGAAACCCACUACGAUUCCCAUUAGGGGUAAAAACAAUUAACUUCCUAUUGGGAAAUACCCUACAUCAUAACAGUAUUGUGAUCCCGUAGGAUGCACAUAAUCAAUCUUGUGAUCCCGAAGGAUGCACAUAUUAGUCUAGUGAUCCCGAAUGAUGCACAUAUUAGUCUAGUGAUCCCGAAGGAUGCACAUAUGUGGUGAUCCCAUAGGACACAUGCAAGGUACACCACCCCAUAGAUAAAGUUAACAGUUUUCCCUCAGUCUAUUCUAACAGUCCAAAACAGUCACAUCAAUUUACAAUUAAAACUAUCAACAAUUCUCCUUCUCUACACAUAGCCAGUCAAAAUUAAGCAUAUUAAUGCAUAACACAGUUCAAUCAACAUUACGUGUCAUCAAACAACACAUUCAAAUCUAUAUAACAGUCAAACUAUCUCAGUUCAAUGUAUCCAUCAACAUAUUCAAAUCUACAUAUAGCAGUCAAAUCCUUUCAGUCAAUACAUUCCAACUUUAACAUAGGGUCCAGUAGUAGAAAUUCCUUACCUUAACUUUACCUAAACUCCUUGGUCGAAAUCAAGUCCAAUGAACCAAACCUAAACAUAAAGAUCAGAAGCUCAAGACUUUCUUAAACAAUAUCAUCCAUUCAAUUCACCCAAAUGUGAAUUUCAUAACUUAUCCAAGUAGAUGGAGAAUCGAACUCCAACCAAAGUUGUUGGAAACUAAAGGAUUCGAGCACUAACUACCCAAUAUCACCUUCAAGGAUCAAAUGACAACCCAAUCAAUUACUCCAACAUUAAUACUUAAAAUAGUUAUGAAAAAGACAACCACAAAACCCAAAAAUUACAUCCUUACCACAAAAUGGCUCAAGUGGCUACAAGAAAAGGAAGAAAGCUAGUGGCUAAAAAAUGUCCUAAUAACGGGUAUAUCUACACGUUAUCAAUGACCUCAUAGAUAGGAUCACAAUACAGGUGGGAUAAAAGUUCAACAGACAAAGUUAACAGACACACCACACUCCAAAAGCAUGUAGCAACAUCAUAAACAUCAAUCAUAAUGUCUAUCAUGUGAUUGAUAUAUCAUGUGUCAUAACAUAUCAAUCAUCAACAUCAACACAUUAUGCAUAUUAGCUACAUCAAUGCAUAAUAAAGGAAGAAGUUGAGACGAGAGGAAGAAUCGGUGUCGUAGAAAGAUUUGAGGCGGUGAAGUUGAUCGUGAAGUAGGAAAGUGACGUGUGUGACCUAAAUGACCUAAAUAUCAUUGAUUCGGGUUGGGUUGGGUUGUUGAACUAAAUUCUUCAACCCCCAACCUGAUACCCAACCCAACCAGAAAAAAAUUAAAUCUUUUAACUCAACUCAACACUUAUAAUAUGGGUUUUGGAUAGUUCGGGUUAUUCUUAUGCCAUUACUUUUAG
rnacentral:lncRNA from 1 species